AGGAUGUCAGUGAGCUACCAGCCUCUGGAGGACAAAGGCCAGCCCUGCAGGUGUCUGCUCUGAGCUCACUGGGUGCCUGGCCAGCAGGAUGCGCUGUAGAGCGAUGAGGAGACACAGUCCCUGCCAGUUUUACCUCCACAACCCACAGGAGCGCCUGAGCCAAUGCGACGCUCCCUUCAGAGUCCCCAGCGAAGACUGGCCUACUUCACAUGUUUCUACCAGUCUAUUUCCAGGACAACAACUACCGGUAAAGAGUGACUUCCAGCUGGGUCAAGUCAGAAAGAAAUCACUGGUUGGAGAUCAGAAAGUCGCUGAAGGCCAUACCUUAUGUUCCACAAAGCAAGCACUUGUGAAACUGCGAAGACUCAAAUCCUGCAUGGAAGUCUUGUUGGAGUUCCAGUUCCUUUUUGUUGAGGACUUCCAGUAUAUUUGGCUGAUUUAACAACUUUGUCUGGAGCUGGAAAUUAGUUUGUGUUAAAGGAUGGAUGUGUAGGACAGACACUACAAGAUAAAUCCAGGCUGUCCUCCCCGUGUCCCUCCCAAUAACCUUGGUGAUGUUUGUUCCCUGGCCUCUGUGAAUAUUCUCAGUGGAGCUGAAGAAAACCCCCUGUCAAAGUUUGCAAUUUGUUUCUAUCCUGCUAUCUGCUUCAAAGACAAGGUUCGGGUCUACUGACAUGAGAAAUUGCAUGUGUAUAGUGCCUGCGCAUGCUUUAACAAAGGUGGGAGCAGAUCUGCCCUCCAACAACGCGAAGAAUGUCUUGUUAAUCUUAUUGCCACAUAACCUUAUCCUCUGUGAAGCCCUGGGGACUUUUCAAUACAAAUGAGACUUCACUUGUGUUACCGAUUGUUACGUUACACCAGGACCAUCAUUUUAACGGCGUUCUGACUGUGCUCCACAUAGACACACACAUGGUCUUUUGUCUUUUGGGAGGGAGAUGCACUACUGAGGUUUCAUGCAGGAGACUGCAGCAACAUAAUGUUAAAUCAUCUGUAUAGCACGUUAGGAAUGAUGCAUGCAUUAUGCCUACUUUAAUUGUGUAAUUACUCUUAUGUAAAAUGCAAGAUAUAUAGAAAACUCUAUAUGAGACAAAUCCCACAUUAAUGUAAUAACUGGGAUAUGGUUUGAAUCACUUAUAUUUGCAUAUAUUAUAUAUGCAUAUAUUAACUCCUCUGGCAUUCCUAAAUGUAAAAAUUGCUGCUACAGGCAUACAGCACUGCAUCGUUCUGUGCUAAUCACAAAUGGGAUAUUUAAAAUGUACAUUUUCAUUAUAAACUGGCUGAUUUUAAAUCACAUAUUGCUAAAUGACCCACAAGAAUCCUACAGUGAGCAACAUUGAAUGUGUUGAUUAAUCUGAACUUGGUGUAUGAAGUUAACUGAAGUGUAAAUAUAAGAGACGUCUUAGUCUAGUAGUGGACUAACAUUUCUGUCAGACGGAAUGUGCUACACGACACACAGUUGGGACUGAAGCUGCAGGUCCACAGCCACAGACGUCCCCACUGGACUCUAUUCCAGUCAGUGUGGAGAACUCUUGAGCAAAACACACACAACAAAUGCCACUGGUACUGAGGUUAAAAUAUACAUUUACAUUUUUUUUUUUUUAAUCAAUCAUUCCAAUUUGUCAUAAUGCUAGUGUACAAGUGAUAUAAUGCAUUUCUCAUGGGCUGCCACAAAUAAAUCAAUUAAACACAGACCCAUCAGUGUCACGCGUAAUUUCCAGUUCUAAUAACACGUUUCUAAUUAAUUGCAGCUGCAAAUGUGAAUGUCUAACCUACAGCAGUAGUGUUAGCGAUACCCAGUGCUUGUAUUACUGCUAUAGCACAAGCUGGUGAAAACCAUUAACGUUCCCUUUAGGCUCACAUGCAUUGGGCUCAACAGGUACAUGUUUGAGGACACACCUGAGCACGGCAACAUUACUGUAGGUAGUGGGAACCCAGCUUAACUUGCCCACAUUGAAAACUGUGUGCAUAUACUAAAAAUGUGGGUCCAAGUCAGUCCCAAUUGUGUCUCGUGGCACUUUACCAUUUUAUAUCACAUCCUUGAGAGAAACCUUUCUAAACUUUGAAAUCCUGGCUUUAUA